ACACUUGGCCCCCGGGGGCGGGGAGGGGCAAGGGCUUGAGGAGGCAGGUAGGUAGGUAGGUGGGAAGAAGACUGCGCAGGGGCAGGUGUGCAGGGACCUUCCAGGGGGAGGGGAGCGCGGGGCAGGUGUGGCCACAAGCUGGUCUGCGCGCGCCAUCUAGUGGGCGCCCCGGGGACGGUCCGUUUGGGCAGGAGCCGCAGGAGCCAAUCAGAAUCGCCGUCUUGCUGGUUGUGAAAUUAAGGCCCUUUGGGGAGAGGUGUGCAGGGCUCCGCGCUAAGCUAUGCAAAAAAAAAAAAAAAAAAAAAAAAAGGAGGGGGGAGUGCAUUGCCACGUUUCCUGCGCGUUUCCCUCUGGGGUGCGCGGGGAGGGCAGGGGCCUAAGGAUUCUUUACAGCCGCCUCUAAUCCAACUGGUCAGUGACCCUGGCCCCCUGGUUACAGAGUACUCUCAAAGUCACCACUACUCUUAAGGGUCCCCCCUUUAAGGGCACUGGUAUGCUGAAGAGAAGUGGCGGUUGACGUUCACUAGACCCAUGUCAUGGGACAAACAGUGGGCAUAUAUUGUUGUCUCAUUUCACCCACAAGGGAGCCCAGAAUUACAUCAUUAUAGAGAAAGAUCUAGGUUCCCCUGGGCAUAGGAAUGCAUCUUAUGUCUCUGGGUUUCAAAUGGGUGUGGGAGCUGGUGGAGAGAAAGGGUCUUAGCCAGCACCCCCCAACUGUGGAAAGAGGCUGGUCCCUCUACUGUCAGCUUGGAGGCAGCACCUUGGAGGCCGGGGGCAGGAAAUAACUUAGUUCACCUGGCAGUGCUGCUCAUGGAAGCUGUUCCUUUGCGCACCUGAGGGGGUACUCUGUGCUUCGGCCAUACCAGCGCCCGCCCAAGCGUCCACCUGCUGAAACAGAUCCAACUUCUCCGCAUCCUCACCGGCAUUUGGUGGCGUCCCUCGUUUUGGUUUCAGCCAUCCUAACAGUGAAGACCAUUCGGGAUGCAGAAGACGUGUUACUCCUCUGCCCACGUGCCCUCCUCUCAGGCCCCCCUGCUUCAGGUAAACAACCUUGGCGUCAGCUGCCUUAGAUUCCUGGGUAUCAUCUUCCUAUACAGAUGAGCAGACAAAGCGGCAAGGAGCCCCACUGUGUGAUGCCCUGCAGUUUAUCCAUUCUCCUGAGCUUGGACAGCUUGGUCACCAGCCCCCAGGACGUCCCAGUGGCUCUUUGGCAGCCCCCUCCCAUGAUCAACGGCAGAAGGGAAAAAUCGGGUGAUAAAAACCACAGUUCCAUCCUGAGCCCUCUCUUCCUUGGCUGCUGUCUCUGGGAUCACUCGCUCUGUGGAAAGCCGGCUACCAUGUUGUGAAGACACGCAGGUCUGACGGGAACCCGUGUGGUAGAGAACCGAGUCCCCGGCCAGCAGACAGCAAGGAACCGAGGCCUGUCAAUGACCAAUGAGUGAGCUUGAAGGGACCUUCCAUUCCUGGUCGAGCUUGAUACGACUGCGCCGCCCCCAUCUGACAGCUUGACCACAACGUCGUGAGAGACCCUGAACCAGACACAUCCAGCGAAGCCAUCGUGGGUACAUGCUUGACCCACACAAGCUGUGAGACAAUAAUUACUGGCUGUUUCGGGUGGCUAAGUGGUGGUAUCGCUUGUUACACGGCAACAGAUGCUCAAGGUGGGCGUCUACAUCGUUUUCAAUAAUUUGCAAGGGUGCUGGAUAGCACUGUGCACUUGUGUCCUUCAUAUCGUUGGGACAUUUUCCCCGCGAUCUAGACCCAAAGAGGACAUACAGAAUGCAGCACGUCAAGUACACGUACACACACGUUAAAAACAAACAAACAAACAAACAAACAAACACGUCACACGAUUUGAGAUCUUGGUUCUUGUCAUUGUUCAUGGCAGAAAACCCAAUGUUCAUUUCAUAAUAGAGAGAAACUAUAAAUCCCAAUGCAGACCAGGAGGAAUAAACCCAAUGAAUUUUACAACGUAGGCAGCGACGUGCAUUAGCGUGCACUGGCUUUCAAGUGAGAUAAUAAGAUGUGCGGCAUUCGAAACAAUAAAGCCACUUAUUAUGUUUUGUAACAAGAAGCAUCGUGGGACUCAAGCAGGGAAGAAAUGCACGGAAUAAAGACGCGGGAUAGGAGGACAAAAUAUUAAUAGCGGUUCUUUAUAAUUUAUGCUUCCCGAUUUUUCACCAAUGAACCUUAUAUAUUUGUUUAAUUAUUAUUUUUGUUUGUUUUGAAUGUACUGCAGAUUCACAUGCAGCUGUAGGAAAUAAAGCAGAGGUACCUUAAGCUCCAUUCAUCAAGCUCCUGCCAAGGGUACCAUCUUGCAUAAAUAUAGCACAAUGUCACAACCAGGAAGCAGACAUCUAUACAACCUACUGACAGUAUUCAAAUUUGGGUAGUUUUACGUACAUCCGUUUGUGUCUUUGUGUAUUUAGGUCCAUGUAAUUUUUUUCACCCGUGAAAAUGUGUCUAAUCCCCACAAGCAAGAGUAGCUUCCUCACCGCAUGAUGUCCACCUUAAUUCCAGAGCCCAUCCUUCCAAUUGUCCCUGUGCCCCUGCCAGUCCCUAGGUCCUGGCCACCACAAAUCUGUCCUCCUUCCCUAUAAUUUUCUCCCUUCAAGAUUGUUAUAUUAAGGGGUUCAUAUAGGAUGAAAAAUUUGGGGAUCCCAUUUGGGAUUUGGGAUGUGCCAAAUGUAACCCACUCACCCACUGAAGAUAUUUGAGUUGUUUCCAAUUGUUGCCUACUACAAAUAAAACUGCUAUGAGGA